GUGGCAUUAUGAAAUACCGGUAUGGUUCCAUGAGCUUGCACGUCGGCUCCGACCAACGACCGACGUUCACAAGAUGUUACUGCUAACACCUGGAGUUAGCCGUGAUACGUUAGCAGCAACCUUAGCAGCUUCUUUUGAUGGAUACGUGUUCAACUAAUGGUUUCCGGAAGAGUUCAUAUCUUUAGAUCUUACUUGUGAGAAACGCCGAGGCCUCCUCGGGCCCCUGGACCCUUAUCUUCUUAUCAAGCCUCAUUCAAUUUCCACCGGCUGAAAUGAGCCGUACAGACAAAGGCCUGAAGGCGUCUGCGCAGCUACAAGCGAAGAGGUGUCACCUGAGCUCUAAGAUCACCUGCUGGUCAAACAACGCGGAUGGCACUGUAUCGUGUUAACAAGGUUUGAAUUUUGUUCAUUUCCUUAUGUCUCCAUAUAAACCUCACUGGCAGAGUAACAGCGAGUCGACUUCCAAAAUGUCCCACUCAUUACUCUCGCUUUACCGCCUCCAAAC